rnacentral:rRNA from 1 species
AUUGAACGCUGGCGGAAUGCUUUACACAUGCAAGUCGAACGGCAGCACGGGGCAACCUGGUGGCGAGUGGCGAACGGGUGAGUAAUAUAUCGGAACGUGCCCAAUCGUGGGGGAUAACGUAGCGAAAGUUACGCUAAUACCGCAUACGAUCUACGGAUGAAAGCGGGGGAUCGCAAGACCUCGCGCGAAUGGAGCGGCCGAUAUCAGAUUAGGUUGUUGGUGAGGUAAAGGCUCACCAAGCCGACGAUCUGUAGCUGGUCUGAGAGGACGACCAGCCACACUGGGACUGAGACACGGCCCAGACUCCUACGGGAGGCAGCAGUGGGGAAUUUUGGACAAUGGGCGCAAGCCUGAUCCAGCAAUGCCGCGUGCAGGACGAAGGCCUUCGGGUUGUAAACUGCUUUUGUACGGAACGAAAAGCCUUCUUCUAAUACAGGAGGGUCAUGACGGUACCGUAAGAAUAAGCACCGGCUAACUACGUGCCAGCAGCCGCGGUAA